UUACUGGGCUUAAAGAGUUCGUAGGUGGUUGAAAAAGUUGGUGGUGAAAUCCCAGAGCUUAACUCUGGUACUGCCAUCAAAACUUUUCAGCUAGAGUAUGAUAGAGGAAAGCAGAAUUUCUAGUGUAGAGGUGAAAUUCGUAGAUAUUAGAAAGAAUACCAAUUGCGAAGGCAGCUUUCUGGAUCAUUACUGACACUGAGGAACGAAAGCAUGGGUAGCGAAGAGGAUUAGAUACCCUCGUAGUCCAUGCCGUAAACGAUGUGUGUUAGACGUUGGAAAUUUAUUUUCAGUGUCGCAGCGAAAGCGAUAAACACACCGCCUGGGGAGUACGACCGCAAGGUUAAAACUCAAAUGAAUUGACGGGGACCCGCACAAGUAGUGGGGCAUGUGGUUUAAUUCGAAGAUACGCGCAGAACCUUACCAACACUUGACAUGUUCGUCGCGACUUUAAGAGAUUAAAGUUUUCGGUUCGGCCGGACGAAACACAGGUGCUGCAUGGCUGUCGUCAGCUCGUGUCGUGAGAUGUUGGGUUAAGUCCCGCAACGAGCGCAACCCUCACUUUUAGUUGCCAUCAUUAAGUUGGGCACUCUGAAAGAACUGCCAGUGAUAAGCUGGAGGAAGGUGGGGAUGACGUCAAGUCCUCAUGGCCCUUACGUGUUGGGCUACACACGUGCUACAAUGGUAUCUACAACAGGAAGCAAAGCCGCGAGGUUAAGCAAAUCCUUAAAAGAUACCUCAGUUCGGAUUGCACUCUGCAACUCGAGUGCAUGAAGCUGGAAUUACUAGUAAUCGUGGAUCAGCGUGCCACGGUGAAUGCGUUCCCGGGUCUUGUACACACCGCCCGUCACACCAUGGGAGUUGGUUCUACCUUAAGGCAAGGUUCAAUACCCUUGACCACGGUAUAGUCAGCGACUGGGGUGAAGUCGUA
rnacentral:rRNA from 1 species